CCGAGGUGAAGGAAGUGGUUCCGCGGCGGACGACUGAUCGGCUCAUCGAGACAUCACAGCGCCUCGGGUGAAUGGAUGAAAGUCUAUCAGUCGCUUGAAUGUGAGUCUAUAUUCUCAACGUCGGACUAGAGGCAAUAUAGACCAGGGUGCUUCUGGACUGGAUGAAAGCAUCUCUAUCAUGAAGCCCAGAUUAAUUGCUGUAUCCUUCCCCAGACGACCUCUGAACCUACCUUGAACUCUUGCGGGAGGAGGAUGAAAUGAGAUAGAAGUGGACGACAGGAGGAGCCCAGCCUGACCCCC